rnacentral:rRNA from 1 species
UACGGAGGAUCCAAGCGUUAUCCGGAAUCAUUGGGUUUAAAGGGUGCGUAGGCGGUUUAAUAAGUCAGUGGUGAAAUCUGGUGGCUCAACGAUCAAACUGCAGUUGAUACUGUUAAACUUGAGUUAUUGUGAAGUAGCUGGAAUUUGUAGUGUAGCGGUGAAAUGCUUAGAUAUUACAUGGAAUACCAAUUGCGAAGGCAGGUUACU